GUGGGGAAUAUUGCGCAAUGGGGGAAACCCUGACGCAGCGACGCCGUGUGAGGGAAGAAGGCUUUCGGGUCGUAAACCUCUGUCAGAAAGGAAGAACCUCCCAAGUCCGAAUAGGGCUUGGGACUGACGGUACUUUCAAAGGAAGCACCGGCUAACUCCGUGCCAGCAGCCGCGGUAAUACGGAGGGUGCAAGCGUUAAUCGGAAUCACUGGGCGUAAAGCGCGCGUAGGCCGCUUUGUAAGUCGGACGUGAAAGCCCUCGGCUCAACCGGGGAACUGCGUUUGAUACUGCGAGGCUUGAGUCCUGGAGAGGGUGGCGGAAUUCCGGGUGUAGGAGUGAAAUCCGUAGAUAUCCGGAGGAACACCGGUGGCGAAGGCGGCCACCUGGACAGGUACUGACGCUGAGGCGCGAAAGCGUGGGGAGCAAACAGGAUUAGAAACCCGUGUAGUCC
rnacentral:rRNA from 1 species